ensembl:lncRNA
GCCAAGAGCCUUGCGAACACGGCGGAGGAGGAGGCAGUUGCCAUGGUCGCCGCCUCCGUACCUGUACUGUCAGGGGCUCCGCGCCCGGCUCCGGGCCCCACUGGCGACCGACGCCCAAGCCUUACCACCCCGCCCGCACGGGCUGCCCGCCGUGCCGCCAGACCCCUGUAGGCCCACUCCAGGACCUCUAGUCUCUGAGGCCCAGAGGUGUUCUGGGUCGGGGGGAACACGCUACUCUUCCCCGAAGACCAGCCCGGGUUAAACCCUGCGAGCUGAGCGCAGCCGGGGAGACUUCGAUCAGGCACAAAGCCGGACACCUGGAGCGAAAUUUGCGCGUGCGUACUGUACGGGAAGCCGAUUAGGACCACGGGGGAGAGGCGCGCGGUGGCCAGCGCCCUCUGCCGGCAGAGGGUAGACAACAUAGAGAAGGCCUGGACGACUCUUGCUUUGGUCAAAGUUCCCCCAGAAACUCGCUACGCUUUUCCGUGCUAGGCUAUUAAUUAAAACAGUAGUGGUAAAUAUAAAAUAAUGAAAAUGUACAUAAUGAACUCCGGUAGUUUUUAAUUUAAAAAACACUUGGGCCGGGGUUGCCGCAGCUGCCGGGCACUUCAGCUUCGCGAAGGCUUGCAGGCAUCUGGCGCGCUCGCGCCCAGCGGUCACGGCUCCCCAGACUAGUCCGCUCCGACAAGGUGGCGCAGAAGAAAGAGCCCAAGAGGACAUCUGCGAGAUUGUCAUCUAAAUCGGCUCCUGCAAAAGUGGGAACGAAGCUGAAGAAGGCGGCAGGAAAGGAUAAAUCGUCAGACAAAAAAGUCAAACAAAGGGAACAACGGGGAAACAGGCCGAAGUGGCUAACCAAGAGACUAAAAGGAGAGCCCAGCCUUUGAUGAAGCAGAAGAAGCCAAGUCUGAUUAAUAUCACACCCUAUCCUAUCAGUGGUCCGUCUCCCUUCUUGUACAAUCCAGACGAUUAUUUUUAUCAACUAUUUUGUAAACUCAAGUUUUUUGACAGCUCUAAAAACAUUUUUUUUAAAAAGAAAGAAUCCUCUCUCAUUCCACUUUUUAAGUGUGCCAACCUGAGGCCUUGCCUGGUAGGGACCGUGAACAAGACUCCAAAGACCCUAAAACUCCAAUUUGUAUGACUAGAGCCCAUCCUUCCAAUCCCUGAUACUGAACAGAGAAGAACAUCUGCGUUCAUUUGGGUAGACUUCUAGGCACUUCAGAAAAUGGGGAGGAACCAAGAGGGAAAAAAACUCCCCUUGAAAAAAGUUCAAAGGACUCAUUUGAAAAGACCUGACACUGGGAAAGAUUGAAGGCAGGAGGAGAAGGAGACGACAGAGGAUCAGAUGGUUGGAUGGCAUCACCAACUCAAUGGACAUGAGUUUGAGUAAACUCUGGAAGUUGGUGCUGGACAGGGAGGCCUGGCGUGCUGUGGUCCAUGGGGUCGCAAAGAGUCGGAUAUGACUGAGCGACUGAACUGAACUAAAAAAAGGAAUGCUGUUUCCAGGAGGGAGGAAGUGGUUUUUCAGGCUGAGACAUGGAGAAGGGAUUAGAUAAAGGCAGAGAGCAAAUCAAAGGUGGCAAAGUCAGGUAUGGCGGAGGACACAUGCAGAGAAGAGAAGCAUCUACAUUAGUUAUACUGCUGCUGCUGCUGCUAAGUCGUGUCAGUUGUGUCCAACUCUGUGUGACCCCACCAGGCUCCGCCGUCCCUGGGAUUCUCCAGGCAAGAACACUGGAGUGGGUUGCCAUGUCCUUCUCCAAUGCAUGAACAUGAAAAGUGAAAGUGAAGUCGCUCAGUUGUGUCCGACUCUUUGCGACCCCAUGGACUGCAGCCCACCAGGCUCCUCCGUCCAUGGGAUUUUCCAGGCAAGAGUACUGGAGUGGUGGAGCUGUCCAAAAGAAAUAAAAUGUAAAUUUUAAAAUUGUCUUUAAUUGAU